GUCUAUGGCCAUGCCACCCUGAACAAGCCUGAUGUCUGAUCUCGGAACCUAAGCAAGGUUGGACCUGGUUCGUACUUGGAUGGGAGACCACCUAGGAAGACCAGGUGCUGUAGGCA
rnacentral:rRNA from 1 species